GAUGAACGCUGGCGGCGUGCCUAAUACAUGCAAGUCGAGCGAACAGACGAGGAGCUUGCUCCUCUGACGUUAGCGGCGGACGGGUGAGUAACACGUGGAUAACCUACCUAUAAGACUGGGAUAACUUCGGGAAACCGGAGCUAAUACCGGAUAAUAUAUUGAACCGCAUGGUUCAAUAGUGAAAGACGGCUUUGCUGUCACUUAUAGAUGGAUCCGCGCCGCAUUAGCUAGUUGGUAAGGUAACGGCUUACCAAGGCAACGAUGCGUAGCCGACCUGAGAGGGUGAUCGGCCACACUGGAACUGAGACACGGUCCAGACUCCUACGGGAGGCAGCAGUAGGGAAUCUUCCGCAAUGGGCGAAAGCUUGACGGAGCAACGCCGCGUGAGUGAUGAAGGUCUUCGGAUCGUAAAACUCUGUUAUUAGGGAAGAACAAAUGUGUAAGUAACUAUGCACGUCCUGACGGUACCUAAUCAGAAAGCCACGGCUAACUACGUG
rnacentral:rRNA from 1 species